AUUGAACGCUGGCGGCAUGCCUUACACAUGCAAGUCGAACGGCAGCACGGGUGCUUGCACCUGGUGGCGAGUGGCGAACGGGUGAGUAAUACAUCGGAACGUACCCAGUCGUGGGGGAUAACGUAGUGAAAAUUACGCUAAUACCGCAUACGAUCUAUGGAUGAAAGCGGGGGAUCGCAAGACCUCGCGCGAUUGGAGCGGCCGAUAUGAGAUUAGGUAGUUGGUGAGGUAAAGGCUCACCAAGCCGAAGAUCUGUAGCUGGUCUGAGAGGACGACCAGCCAAACUGGAACUGAGACACGGUCCAGACUCCUACGGGAGGCAGCAGUGGGUAAUUUUGGACAAUGGACGCAAGUCUGAUCCAGCCAUUCCGCGUGCAGGACGAAGGCCUUCGGGUUGUAAACUGCUUUUGUACAGAACGAAAAGGUCUCUAUUAAUACUGGGGGCUCAUGACGGUACUGUAAGAAUAAGCACCGGCUAACUACGUGCCAGCAGCCGCAGUAA
rnacentral:rRNA from 1 species